UCGAGGAUCUUCGGCAAUGAGCGCAAGCUUGACCGAGCGACGCCGCGUGUGCGACGAAGGCCUUCGGGUUGUAAAGCACUGUCGAGGGGGAGGAAAGCCCGCAAGGGUCUGACCUAUCCCUGGAGGAAGCACGGGCUAAGUUCGUGCCAGCAGCCGCGGUAAGACGAACCGUGCAAACGUUGUUCGGAAUCACUGGGCUUAAAGGGCGCGUAGGCGGGCAUUAAAGUCAGGGGUGAAAUCCCCCAGCUUAACUGGGGAACUGCCUUUGAUACUGAAUGUCUCGAGUAAGGUAGGGGCGUGCGGAACUGAUGGUGGAGCGGUGAAAUGUGUUGAUAUCAUCAGGAACUCCGGUGGCGAAAGCGGCACGCUGGACCUUCACUGACGCUGAGGCGCGAAAGCUAGGGGAGCGAACGG
rnacentral:rRNA from 1 species